CUAUCACUUAGCGGCGGACGGGUGAGUAAUGCUUAUGAAUCUGCCUAUUAGUGGGGGACAACAUUUCGAAAGGAAUGCUAAUACCGCAUACGUCCUACGGGAGAAAGCAGGGGAUCUUCGGACCUUGCGCUAAUAAAUGAGCCUAAGUCGGAUUAGCUAGUUGGUGGGGUAAAGGCCUACCAAGGCGACGAUCUGUAGCGGGUCUGAAAGGAUGAUCCGCCACACUGGGACUGAGACACGGCCCACACUCCUACGGGAGGCAGCAGUGGGGAAUAUUGGACAAUGGGCGCAAGCCUGAUCCAUCCAUGCCGCGUGUGUGAAGAAGGCCUUAUGGUUGUAAAGCACUUUAAGCGAGGAGGAGGCUACUGAAGUUAAUACCUUCAGAUAGUGGACGUUACUCACAAAAUAAGCACCGGCUAACUCUGUGCCAGCAGCCGCGGUAAUACAGAGGGUGCAAGCGUUAAUCGGAUUUACUGGGCGUAAAGCGCGCGUAGGCGGCUAAUUAAGUCAAAUGUGAAAUCCCCGAGCUUAACUUGGUAAUUGCAUUCCAUACUGGUUAGCUAGAGUGUGAGAAAGGAUGGUAUAAUUCCAGGUGUAGCGGUGAAAUGCAUAUAGAUCUGGAGGAAUACCGAUGGCGAAGGCA
rnacentral:rRNA from 1 species